rnacentral:rRNA from 1 species
AGUGAACGCCGGCGGUAGGCCUAACACAUGCGAGUCGAACGGCAGCACAGUAAGAGCUUGCUCUUACGGGUGGCGAGUGGCGGACGGGUGAGGAAUACAUCGGAAUCUACUUUUUCGUGGGGGAUAACGUAGGGAAACUUACGCUAAUACCGCAUACGACCUACGGGUGAAAGCAGGGGAUCUUCGGACCUUGCGCGAUUGAAUGAGCCGAUGUCGGAUUAGCUAGUUGGCGGGGUAAAGGCCCACCAAGGCGACGAUCCGUAGCUGGUCUGAGAGGAUGAUCAGCCACACUGGAACUGAGACACGGUCCAGACUCCUACGGGAGGCAGCAGUGGGGAAUAUUGGACAAUGGGCGCAAGCCUGAUCCAGCCAUACCGCGUGGGUGAAGAAGGCCUUCGGGUUGUAAAGCCCUUUUGUUGGGAAAGAAAAGCAGCAGGUUAAUACCCCGCUGUUCUGACGGUACCCAAAGAAUAAGCACCGGCUAACUUCGUG